rnacentral:ncRNA from 3 species
CCACCAGCUGGCGUUCCCUGGCGUGGGAACGAGAGGCAGGGGCUGCUGGCUGGAGGGA